GUUAGGAAUAUUGGACAAUGGGCGAAAGCCUGAUCCAGCCAUGCCGCAUGAACGAUGAAGGCCUUCGGGUUGUAAAGUUCUUUAGCCGAUGAUUAUAAUGACUGUAGUCGGAAAAUAAGCCCCGGCUAACUUCGUGCCAGCAGCCGCGGUAAUACGAAGGGGGCGAGCGUUAUUCGGAAUCACUGGGCGUAAAGCGUGCGUAGGCGGUUUUGUAAGUUAGGAGUGAAAGCCCAGGGCUCAACCUUGGAAUUGCUCUUAAAACUGCAAGGCUCGAAUCUCGGAGAGGAUAGCGGAAUUUCCAGUGUAGCAGUGAAAUGCGUAGAUAUUGGAAGGAACACCAGUGGCGUAAGCGGCUAUCUGGACGAGUAUUGACGCUGAGGCACGAAAGCGUGGGGAUCAAACAGGAUUAGAUACCCUUGUAGUCC
rnacentral:rRNA from 1 species